rnacentral:tRNA from 1 species
AUGAGGUAUUAGUAAAAUUUACAUAAUUUUGUCAAAAUUAAAUUACAGGUGGAACCCCUGUAUACCUCU